UCGAAGAUGAACCAUGCAGCACCUGAUCAAAGCAUGAGGAAAACCCAAGAAGCAUCUUCGGCUGGUGUAACAUAAGGGAGGUCUGAGCAUGGCGAAGAUGCUUCUUCUUCGGGUAUAAAAAGGGGGAGCUAAGUUUUCUUAAGAAAAUAGAGGAGAGCAUGAUUGAACGGAGGGUUUGCGAGGGAUUUUUGGAGUGUUCAGAGAAGCAAAAAGAGGAAGAAUUGCUGGGUUUUUUGCGGGAAAAACAGUAAGGUGAAAAAGGGCUGACCAAGGAUGCUACUGAGUUAAAAUGAUUGUUUUCUUUUUACUUUGUGUUCUUGUUUUUUAGAUCGCUUGUGAUAAUUAGGUGGAAGGAGCAAUAAGAUAAAGGAAAGGAAGAGGGAAGCUUCGACUAGCAGAGUUGCAGAGUGUAGGUAGCUUUAAUUUUAUUUUUUAAUCACCCUGUAAAGUCAUUUAGCAACUGAAUCUGAAAAUUUGAAUGGAAAUUUGACUGCUUUUCUUUAUAUUUGCUGUACUUGUUAAAAAUUCAUGAAUGAGUUUAGGUAUCAGGAUUUUUGUUGGGUGUAAUGGAUUACUUUGUUUGAAGUUUGAAACUUCGAUUUGAUUAAUGGGUAAUGGGUAUAAUGGCUAGUUUGCACUGUGCAUUUUAAUGAUAACUUAAUUAGGGAA
rnacentral:lncRNA from 1 species